AGGGAGAGAGGAAAGAGGGAACGUGAGGAGAAAGUAGAAGGUCAGGAAGAAGCAGGUAAAAUUGGACCUUUUCAUCCUGGAGCAGCUGUCAUGCGUGGAUCCAGAUCCCUGCCACAGUGUGAAAUGGAACGGCUUUUUCCUCUACGCAUAUUGUCAGAGUGGACGCCCAGGUACUCCUCCAUCACAACAGCUGAUGAUUCCCACCAGAUGUUUCCACAAAACCAUCGCUGGGUGCUCCCGUCACUAACACAUCCAUCCAGUUGUAUUUGUGAGUAUUUGUGCGGGUGACAUGAACCGAAGUCGUGCUGAAAGUCUGAGUAGAUGGUGAAUAGAAACAGAGAGAUCACCGUCCUGUUGUACGGGUACGUGUCAAGACAUGUUUUCACCUGUGGUCUGAGGUGGGCCACGACCAGUCUCUCCAGUACCUUCAUCACAUGUGAUCGAGGGCAAUUGACAUCAACCUGUUAAACGUUGAUGGCGGCGACUUCUUUGACGCAGGAACUAGACAGAAUCACAGUUUUCUGUAAUAGCGAUAUAUAGUCUCCAGUUUCACACUCAUGUUGUUAAUGUGAGUCGGCAUCACAGAGCUGGCUAGCAGUCAGGUUUGAUCACACUCGCCCUCUUGUGGCCAAAGAACAUAUAAUACAUUUUCAGUGAACAGCUUUGUUCCAUUAUCCAUUUAAGAUUAAAUGAAAUGAAAUUUUACAUCCAAUUCUGUUUCACAAAGAAACUGUAUAUUUGGUCGGAAUUGGCCAAGGGUUCAGCAUUAGUGAGCAUUAUGCCCACUAUAAUUUAAUAAUGACACUUGACUUGAACCCACAGGAUGAUGAGUGGAUCCGUCUGUCUCACUGAAAGUGGGAACAAGCUCCAACGCAGAGGACACAAGGUAAGUGUUGCAGUGAGUACUGUGAUCCUGCAAAGGUACCAACACAUUCGCUCUUUGAGCAUUUAUGUAUCGGUGCUCUGGGUGAAUAAUAAAGAGCUGCAGUCAUGCUGUAGCAGCUGUUCCUCCAUCUACUGUGUCCGUUGCUUCAGGUGUUUCAACGCCAGCAGUUCAGAGUCACCAUGUGGACUUAAAAUACUUGUUUGCACAAUUUCCCUUUACCUAAACACUUUGUAUUGUCGUAUUGUACUCUAUUACAAAUGAAUCAAUAUUAAACCUGUAAAAAUCUUUAAAAUACAUUUUUUCCCUCCCAAAAGAUCCAAACUCCUGCUACGGUUUGGAAACCCUCGGUGGGAUGUGGUGCUGCUGUAGAGCUCAACCUUCAUCUCUGCAGCUACAGCAAUAAAAGGAUUGUGUGUGGAAGAAACUGCCUAAGUCUAAGGCUACGUCCACACUAGCCCGGAUAGAUUUGAAAAGGGCCUUUUCGUCUGAAAACGCUCCGCGAUCACACUAGCGUUUU